rnacentral:pre_miRNA from 1 species
AUGCAGGCCAAUCUAUAUUUAAGUAGGAGAAUUACUCUUAAGAAAAUGAAUCUAAAAUAGUUUUCCCUAAUUCCUCAUCUUGU